UACGUAGGAGACGAGCGUUGUCCGGAAUCAUUGGGCGUAAAGCGCGCGUAGGUGGCCUCAUAAGUCCGCUGUGAAAGUCAAAGGCUCAACCUUUGAAAGCCGGUGGAUACUGUGAGGCUAGAGUACGGAAGAGGCGAGUGGAAUUCCUGGUGUAGCGGUGGAAUGCGCAGAUAUCAGGAGGAACACCAAUAGCGAAGGCAGCUCGCUGGGACGUUACUGACACUGAGGCGCGAAAGCGUGGGGAGCGAACAGG
rnacentral:rRNA from 1 species